rnacentral:lncRNA from 10 species
CUGGUUAGAGGUUCGCCGGUGACGUGAGCGCCCGAGUUGGGGGAGAGGACCAGAACCACCUGCUGGAGAAAGGGAGCUACGGGGGCCGGGCAGGGUCCAAACGCCUCACGUGGGCGGCGGCGCCACGGUCUUCGGGGUCACAGGGAAGAGAAGGGCUCUCCUCAAGCGGGUGGAAGGAGGGAGGCCUCCCGAGGGAAUGAGACUCCAGGCCACUCCCCCGCAGCAAGGCAGGAUCACCUGCGUCGCGGAGAGCAGUUAGAGGUCCCUGGAGUGGAAAAGGGCAGUGGGACCUGGUAGCUUGGGUUCCCUGCAACUUGGGGUUCGACCUCCAGGCAAUGAAGUAGGGAUGGUCCUGCAAGUCAAGAUUCCAGUAGCAAGAGUGCAUCAGAUCUCUGUAAGGAAAAUAACUAACAUUGCUCAGUUCCCUGUAGAGUUGCAGGGCGCUUUGACGUUAUCUCCCUUGGUUCUCCAUCAGGUCGUAGUGGACUAAUUUUACAGGCGAAGUUAAGUGACUUACCCAAAACCUCACAGCUAAUAAACGGCAGAGCCGGCACCCAGCUGUACUGGCUUCCAGCGCAUCCCAUUAUCUCCAUAAAUCCCCCUGAUUCAACUAAUAUUAGACGCCCCACAGGUAAGAUGCUUCAGAGUUAGAGGGGAGUUGAAGAUACCUUUGCCUUCAAAGAAGUAAGGAAUGAAACAAAGAUAAAACAGACAAUAAAAGACAAACCAUGAUAGGUGCCACGUGAAAAGUGGCAGAGUACUGCCGGGAAUCAAAGAACCGUGUAUAUCUGUCUUGGGGAUAAGGAAAGAAACGCAGCAUGAAGGAGUAGGCAUUUGGGAUUGACCUUGAAGGAGACAGGGAGAGUUUUACAGCAAGAAGGGAUAGCAUGAGAAUAUAUAUGAAGGCGAAUCAGUGAAAGUUGUGUUGGGGAAAGAGCAAAGACUCCAGGUAUGUUGAGAGGUAGAAAAGACAAAGGAGUAUGGGGCCUAAGAUACCAAAUGGAUGAAUUUAUAUUUAAUUCAGUAUUUUGAGUUUUUAUGGUUCAGAAGUUUGGGGGAAGAAAAGGAAGGUUUUUUUUUUCUUUAUGCUAGUGAUUUAUCUGUGAAGGGAAGCAGAAAUCAGAGGUGGAAAAACUGACAGAUCUACUGUAGGCCAGGUAAAAGGUAAUGAUGAGUCUGACCUAAAGGGACAGCCAGGGGAAUUUAAAGAGCAUAGUUGAGAGAUGAUGUGCAUGCAGAAUCUAUAGAAUUUGCUAACUGAUUGAUUAAUUGUGGGUAGGAAGAGAGAAAUCAAAGAAAGUGGAGGUUUUGAGUUUCUAGAUAAUUGCAAGAGAGAAAAGAGACAAUUACAAAGGAAAGGAGAAGGAGCUACUUCUUGAGAGAAGAUCAGUUUAGAUUUAGACAUUUUAAGAAUUCAAAGGGUUGUCAAGACAGCCAGACGGACAUGGACACUAAUAAGUUAGAAAUAAAGGUUUUGUAAUAUGGGAAAGAGGACUGAGCUAGAAAAUAGACUCAUAGAUAAUCAGCCUAGGAGUGAUAUUGCUGUGAGAUAAAAGAAGAAAACAAAGUCAGAAUCUUGGAAAACACCCUCUUCAGAGUCUCGCUGCUCAAAACGUGGUCAGUGGCCCAGCAGCACUGACAUGAGGACCUUAGUUGGAAACUCAGAAUCUCAGGCUCCACCCCAGACCUGCUGAACCAGCAUCUUCAACUUAACAAGAACCCGAAGAGAUUUGUGCCACAUCAAAAAGUUUGAGAAGCUCUGAUCUAGCUGGACCCUGGACACGGUGACUCUGAUUCAAUUAUGCAGAUGACCACAAGCCUCUGGGGUUGGCAGAGCCACAAGAAAGAAGGUGCCUGGAUGAAGGAGAGCUACCCACUGACCUGGACACCCAAUUAUGUGAGCAAGAUAUAUUUCUAUUGAGUUGGAGCCAUAACAUUUUGCAGUCUAUUUGUUAUAGCAGUUUAGCCUACUCUAGGUAAUGUAGUCCUUAACGGAAAGUAUUGAGAAAAAAAGAGAGAAGGGAGGUGAAAUCAGAGUUUAUGAGUGAGGGAGAGUGAACUGACUAAAGAACAUGGUAAAGUUUCCAGGCAUUACUAAGAGCCCCAUUGAAUAAGUGGUCAUGAAUUUAUAGUGAGG